CCACCCCCCUCCCCCUCCAACUCCUCAUUCCUGCUGACUCCGUGCUCGCCCGCUCCGCUUUCGCCUCCUCGCCUCACCCCUCUCUGGAUGCCAGUAGCUUCUAGUCAUGGAGCAGACGACAGUCACACACCAACCAAGACUGUCAGUCACCAAGGCUUCAGAAUCGAUGACUCAAGAGGAGGAAGCGGGGGGCUUCACCGCAGGAAGUGAAGAUGACUGGAGGUCAAACAAUGUCCCUGCAGUGACAGACCUCAUAGUCACACAGCCUGGCCUCGGCAUCACCACGACAACCGUCACCACCAUCACGCAGACGGGAGGAGACUGGAGCACUGGCCUGUUUGACGUCUGCGGAGACAAGACUACAUGCAUCCUUGGGGCUCUGGUGCCGUGCUGUUUGGACCUGAGCUUGGCUCACCAGUUUGGCGAGUGUGUGUGCAUACCUCUGCUCCCAGGAUCCACGUUUGCCAUGCGAGUCGGGAUAAGGGAGAGGUACAAGAUACGGGGCAGUGUGUGUGAGGACUGGACCACCGUGUGCUGCUGUUAUCCACUGGCCGUAUGUCAGAUGAUAAGAGAGAUGAAGCGAAGGCUAAAGACACAGACGUAUCAUGUGUCCACUGCCCUCGAAUGCUCCUGAAGAAACUCUAGACAGUAAAUGAGGCCUGCCCUCUUGCAAUGCGACACAGACGUGGGUCAUCUUAGAUAUCCGGCAUGAACAGCACAAAGAACCAACACUAUGAAUUUAUUUUUAAAUGCCCCAGAGGAUGCCUUGACCAAUAAAGCAAGCUUGUCCUACAACAUUCAAAGAAGAUUGAAAUGAUGACCCCUUUAAAGACCUGUAAGUUAUGAACAGGUGUGUAGGGAUUCAAACUGCCUUGGAGGUUGUUUGAUUCUAACUGAAGCCUACUUUUAAACUGCCGUUGGACCUCUGUGCAGAGAGAAUAUUAUGAAUAAACUUGGUAACGAUACUCUGCUUCUCCUGCAGAGGCAAGAACUCAUCAACAACAUUUUGAGUCGGGUGAAAAGCGAGCGGCGGGAUGCGUGCUGCUUUGGUUUCAGUAGCUGUCACUGGCAGCAAACAGCACUGAACUUCUGGUGCAACUCUCAGACACCAGCAAUAUUAACAAACAAGCCAACUUUCUUAAAUUAUGAAUAUUUCAAACCAAAAAGGGCAGUUCUCCAACUCCUGCCACUGUCACAUAAGCAGCUUUUUUUUGGCCAUUUUAAUAAGGAUACAACCAUAAUUGAACUCAUUGACCUCACUUUAAUACAUACAUACAAUACAUAUAUAUACAUAUAUACAUAAUAGACAAGAUAUUGAUCCCUGAAGCUUGACAACAUUAUUGACAGAUUUUUGUUAAAGGUCAGUUCACCAAAUAUCUCAGUCGCCACUAGUGAUUUCUCAACAUGCACUUGUUUUGGUUUUAUUUGAAAUAUCAGCAUUAGAAACAUGGAGAUACAUGGAAUAUUGUUCAUGCUGCUCAAACAAAAAACAAUGAACAUUUUGAUUUUAAAAGCAUGUCUCUCCAGAAAACAAUGCUCCUAGUGCUCUGGAUAUUCAGCGCAGCUCGCCGCAACAGUUCACAGGGACAAUUUCUUCCAUAGAGAGUGGUAGAAAUGAAGUGAAAAAAGUGAUUUGGGUGAACCGACCCUUUAAUUUUGUCUGGCAUGCCAAAGGUCACCAGACACAUUAUAGUGUUCAGUCCCUCUCCGACAGGAAGGGAAAAUGAAGUGAGGAAGCAUAAGGCUUUCUAGACCUUGAGGCACAAAGUGUGCGAUGGGGCCAUAACUCAACAUUAGAGACAAUAUCUAUAAUUUAGAUGAAUCAGGUUUAAAAGCGCGUCCAAGUGUGGGCAAGAAAUGCGCAGAAAAGCUUUGUUUAAUUUGAUCUGAGCAUUUAUUUGGCUGCAUGAUUGAGAGCUGUUUUAUUUAUUUCAGGAAGUGAGAUGUAGCAAGUGUACAAGUCCGCUCAGUAUGCAGAACCACUCGCCUGAUUACCCGGCAAAGCGGCCAGAGCGUAGCUCCGAUCACAGUCAACAGCUCAAAUUUGCAAAGUGAAUCCAGAUGACCCAUCCCUCCCCCAAAAGAAGAAAAUAAAUAUUCAAUAUGACUCAAAAACUAUUUUGUUGCACUACAUAACACAGCACGGAGUGGUAGAAACUGUCAUUGCAAACCAGAUCUGACGUUUGUCCCAGAGGAUUUACUGCUCAUUAUCUACUCUAUUUACUGCUGGCUGAUGUGACAUAGGAGGGUAGAUGGCAUGCAGCUCUGACAGAAUGAUGCUUCACUUUAAGCUCUGGGGCUUCUAUCCCGGUAAUAUCUCCGUGCAGUCAGUGGGUAACAGUAGAAGACUGCUCUCUGGAAAAGGUCAAGUGUGCUGCAUUGGGUAAAUAAAGGUGAAAAACAAACUAUGGAAAGCGGUUUAUUAUUAGACAAGCAAGUCAUCAUAGUGCCUUUCGCAGUGACAUGAUCCUACAGUGUAUUUAUAGGAUUUCAUGGGAAUUCAGGCUGAUUUAUUUGUUGAAAAGUAACCAAAAAUUCCUGAAAUCCUUGUGCAUGUGAGUGAUUGCCCUGUUAAAAGCAGUAAUAAUCUAUAUUAUGAAUUAUUUUUAUUCAUGCUUGUCAAUCUCAU